rnacentral:rRNA from 1 species
GUUGUAUGGUUAAGUGACUAAGCGUACACGGUGGAUGCCUUGGCAGUCAGAGGCGAUGAAAGACGUAGUAACUUGCGAUAAGCCCAGAUUAGGUAGUAACAACCAUUUGAGUCUGGGAUUUCUGAAUGGGGAAACCCACGUGCAUAAGCACGUAUCCUUACCUGAAUACAUAGGGUAAGGAGGCGAACCGGGGGAACUGAAACAUCUAAGUACCCCGAGGAAAAGAAAUCAACCGAGAUUCCGAAAGUAGCGGCGAGCGAAAUUGGACUAGCCCUUAAGCUUUACACGCGUUAGACGAACGGUCUGGAAAGUCCGACGAUACAGGGUGAUAGUCCCGUAGUUGACGACGUGUGUUCAGUGAAAUCGAGUAGGGCGGGACACGUGAUAUCCUGUCUGAAUAUGGGGGGACCAUCCUCCAAGGCUAAAUACUACUGACUGACCGAUAGUGAACCAGUACCGUGAGGGAAAGGCGAAAAGAACCCCUGUGAGGGGAGUGAAAUAGAACCUGAAACCGUGUACGUACAAGCAGUAGGAGCAGGCUUUGUCCUGUGACUGCGUACCUUUUGUAUAAUGGGUCAGCGACUUAUAUUCAGUGGCAAGGUUAACCAUCUAGGGGAGCCGUAGGGAAACCGAGUCUUAACUGGGCGUUCAGUCUCUGGAUAUAGACCCGAAACCAGGUGAUCUAGCCAUGGGCAGGUUGAAGGUUGAGUAACAUCAACUGGAGGACCGAACCGACUAAUGUUGAAAAAUUAGCGGAUGACUUGUGGCUAGGGGUGAAAGGCCAAUCAAACCUGGAGAUAGCUGGUUCUCCCCGAAAGCUAUUUAGGUAGCGCCUCGGACGAAUACUACUGGGGGUAGAGCACUGUUAAGGCUAGGGGGUCAUCCCGACUUACCAACCCUUUGCAAACUCCGAAUACCAGUAAGUACUAUCCGGGAGACACACGGCGGGUGCUAACGUCCGUCGUGGAGAGGGAAACAACCCAGACCGCCAGCUAAGGUCCCAAAUUACUACUAAGUGGGAAACGAUGUGGGAAGGCUCAGACAGCCAGGAUGUUGGCUUAGAAGCAGCCAUCAUUUAAAGAAAGCGUAAUAGCUCACUGGUCGAGUCGGCCUGCGCGGAAGAUGUAACGGGGCUAAGUAGUAAACCGAAGCUGCGGCAAUAUACUUUUGUAUAUUGGGUAGGGGAGCGUUCUGUAAGCGGUUGAAGGUGUGUGGUAACGCAUGCUGGACGUAUCAGAAGUGCGAAUGCUGACAUGAGUAACGAUAAAGGGGGUGAAAAACCUCCUCGCCGGAAGACCAAGGGUUCCUGUCCAACGUUAAUCGGGGCAGGGUAAGUCGACCCCUAAGGCGAGGCCGAAAGGCGUAGUCGAUGGGAAACGGGUUAAUAUUCCCGUACUUCUUACAAUUGCGAUGGGGGGACGGAGAAGGCUAGGUGGGCCUGGCGACGGUUGUCCAGGUUCAAGUGCGUAGGCUUGAGAGUUAGGUAAAUCCGGCUCUUUUUAAGGCUGAGACACGACGUCGAGCACCUACGGGUGUGAAGUCAUUGAUGCCAUGCUUCCAGGAAAAGCCUCUAAGCUUCAGAUUGUAAGGAAUCGUACCCCAAACCGACACAGGUGGUCGGGUAGAGAAUACCAAGGCGCUUGAGAGAACUCGGGUGAAGGAACUAGGCAAAAUGGUACCGUAACUUCGGGAGAAGGUACGCUCUUGAUGGUGAAGUCCCUUGCGGAUGGAGCUGACGAGAGUCGCAGAUACCAGGUGGCUGCAACUGUUUAUUAAAAACACAGCACUGUGCAAAAUCGUAAGAUGACGUAUACGGUGUGACGCCUGCCCGGUGCCGGAAGGUUAAUUGAUGGGGUUAGACUUCGGUCGAAGCUCUUGAUCGAAGCCCCGGUAAACGGCGGCCGUAACUAUAACGGUCCUAAGGUAGCGAAAUUCCUUGUCGGGUAAGUUCCGACCUGCACGAAUGGCGUAAUGAUGGCCACGCUGUCUCCACCCGAGACUCAGUGAAAUUGAAAUCGCUGUGAAGAUGCAGUGUACCCGCGGCUAGACGGAAAGACCCCGUGAACCUUUACUACAGCUUGGCACUGAACAUUGACCCUACAUGUGUAGGAUAGGUGGGAGGCUUUGAAGCACGUACGCCAGUAUGUGUGGAGCCGUCCUUGAAAUACCACCCUUGUAGUGUUGAUGUUCUAACGUCGACCCCUAAUCGGGGUUGCGGACAGUGCCUGGUGGGUAGUUUGACUGGGGCGGUCUCCUCCCAAAGAGUAACGGAGGAGCACGAAGGUGGGCUAAUCACGGUUGGACAUCGUGAGGUUAGUGCAAUGGCAUAAGCCCGCUUGACUGCGAGAAUGACAAUUCGAGCAGGUGCGAAAGCAGGUCAUAGUGAUCCGGUGGUUCUGAAUGGAAGGGCCAUCGCUCAACGGAUAAAAGGUACUCCGGGGAUAACAGGCUGAUACCGCCCAAGAGUUCAUAUCGACGGCGGUGUUUGGCACCUCGAUGUCGGCUCAUCACAUCCUGGGGCUGAAGUCGGUCCCAAGGGUAUGGCUGUUCGCCAUUUAAAGUGGUACGCGAGCUGGGUUUAGAACGUCGUGAGACAGUUCGGUCCCUAUCUGCCGUGGGCGUUGGAAGAUUGAAGGGGGCUGCUCCUAGUACGAGAGGACCGGAGUGGACGAACCUCUGGUGUUCGGGUUGUGUCGCCAGACGCAUUGCCCGGUAGCUAAGUUCGGAAUCGAUAACCGCUGAAAGCAUCUAAGCGGGAAGCGAGCCCUGAGAUGAGUCUUCCCUGAUACUUUAAGUAUCCUAAAGGGUUGUCGGAGACUACGACGUUGAUAGGUCAGGUGUGUAAGUGCUGUGAGGCAUUGAGCUAACUGAUACUAAUUGCCCGUGAGGCUUAACCAUACAACACCCAAGGGGUUU